AAUGGUGCUGGGUUAUGUGUCUUUCAGCUGACGACAGCAGUGACCAGUGCCUUUUUACUUGCAAAAGUGAUCCUCUCAAAGCUUUUCUCUCAAGGGGCUUUCGGCUACGUGCUCCCCAUCAUUUCGUUCCUCCUUGCCUGGAUUGAGACGUGGUUCCUGGAUUUCAAAGUGUUACCUCAAGAGGCGGAAGAGGAAAACAGACUCCUGAUAGUUCAGGAUGCUUCGGAGAGGGCGGCACUCAUACCUGGAGGUCUUUCUGAUGGCCAGUUUUAUUCUCCUCCUGAAUCUGAAGCAGGUAACAAAAAUGUGAUUAUCGUCUGUGUUUUCAUCCAUCAUUCAAAAGCUCAGCCCUCCCUCCCUCUCCUGUCAGAACGCUGCUGAGCAGACAUCUCACAGUGCAGGCACGUAGGAGACGGAAAUAACCGAGAUGUGGUCUUGAUGUGGGAGCAGUGGGGAG